UGCGAUGAGCUGAGAGGUUUGGUUGUCACCCAAAUGGCAACCCCGCAUUCGCGGUAAAACUCUCGUGGGGCCCAUAACCUGCCGGAUUGCAGGGGGCUCGGGGUGAAACGUAGUGGACGACGU
rnacentral:ncRNA from 1 species